GAUGAACGCUGGCGGCGUGCCUAAUACAUGCAAGUCGAGCGAAAAGACGAGGAGCUUGCUCCUCUGACGUUAGCGGCGGACGGGUGAGUAACACGUGGAUAACCUACCUAUAAGACUGGGAUAACUUCGGGAAACCGGAGCUAAUACCGGAUAAUAUAUUGAACCGCAUGGUUCAAUAGUGAAAGACGGUUUUGCUGUCACUUAUAGAUGGAUCCGCGCCGCAUUAGCUAGUUGGUAAGGUAACGGCUUACCAAGGCAACGAUGCGUAGCCGACCUGAGAGGGUGGUAGGCCACACUGGAACGGAGACACGGUCCAGACGCCUAAGGGAGGCAGCAGUAGGGAAUCUUACGCAACGGGCGAAAGUAUGACGGAGCAACGCCGCGUGAGUGAUGAAGGUCUUCGGAUCGUAAAACUCUGUUAUUAGGGAAGAACAAAUGUGUAAGUAAAUAUGCACGUCUUGACGGUACAUAAUCAGAAAGCCACGGCUAACUACGUG
rnacentral:rRNA from 1 species